AUGUUAUUAACCUCUGCAGGGACCUGCGCUGGAGAGGACAGAGGGGAACUUGGCCCUCCAGGUGGUAAUCCCACCCACCUCAACCUGUUCUACCUGCGGGCUCUCCCACACCUGCGCGGUCCUCGGCCGGGAGCCGACCCCGCGGCGGGGACCCAGCGCCACCCGCACGCCCGCGGCGAGCCACGUCGAAGUUCAUUCAAAGGCGCGUGUUUGUCAGCAAACAAAGGGCGGCGCGGUCUCGAGUCCCGCGGCCGGCUGCGGCCCCGGGGAAGGGCAGGAGGGCCGCGGCGACAGAUGGACAUUCCGCACGCGGGCAGACGGACACCCGAUCUGCGGCUCCCGGCGGCCCCACCCACCCGCGCCCGCGGCCGGUGCUCCGAGCGCCCAACGAGCGGCCUCGGGCGCCGCCGUCCCGAGAACUUUCCCGUCCCCUUGGGGACAGGGGCCGGCGGUGGGGAGGGGCGGGGAGGUGGGGGGGUGGGGAGGCGGGGAGGUGGGGGCCUUUACAGAAUUCCUGCCCCGGACGUGGCGGGAGGCCCUCUGCAAGUGGAAGGUGGCUGGUCCCCAAGUCCCAAGCCCGACCCAGGGCGCCCGGGAGCAGCCCUCGGGGCGAGGAGCCGGCGGCCGCGCGGGAGGAACAAAGGGACCGGCGGGCCGGGGAGGAUGCGGCGCUGCCCUGCGCCCCACCCGGCCGGCGGGCGGGCGCUGCCUCCUGCGCAGGUAGCCCGGCCUGCGGCGCGGCGGGAGGGUGUGUUCAAGUGGGGAACACAAAGACUCACUUCCGCGGAGCCGGGCGCCCGGACUCCUCUGCCCGCCGCUCGCCGCGCGUCCGCACUCCUGCAUCCCUGCCGCCCCCGCGCCCCCGGUGCCCGCCGGCUGCCCCGCGCGGGGCCGGUGCAGGUCACCCUCGGAGGGGCGAGGGCUGGCUGCAGGCGACGGCCGGGAGAGGCAAGCCUUUUUAGGCAGCCGCGCCGCCCGCGCGCCCCACGCCGCCCGAGUCUGCAGUCGCUCUCCGCCGGGGGCACGGAUCCGCGCCGAGCCGGGGAGCGCCCCGCCGUGCACCCCGCCCGGCGGGUCGGGGGCGCGGGGAGCGGACUGUGCAACUUCCCAGCGCCCGGCGCCCGGCCGCUAGGUGAGCCAAGGCCGGGAAGGCGGAGGACCGAGGCGCCGGCGGAGGGAGGAGGGCCCGGGGCGCGCACAGGGGAGGCGCGGGGCCCGGGGGCGGGGCGCGGCGGGAGCUGGGCGCGGGGGCCGCGGGGCCGGGGGCCGGGGGGCCGGGAGCCGCCGCCUCUCCCCGGGGCUCCGGGCCGCCGCUCCCCCCGCCGCCCGCGCCGCCGCCGCCGCCGCCGCUGCCGGGAACAAUGA
rnacentral:lncRNA from 1 species